GGGGUUGUGGCUCAGUGGUAGAGCACUUGCCUAGCACGUAUGGGACACUGGGUUCGAGCCUCAGCACCA
rnacentral:tRNA from 1 species